rnacentral:rRNA from 1 species
UACGUAGGAGGCGAGCGUUGUCCGGAGUUACUGGGCGUAAAGGGUGCGCAGGUGGCCGUGCGCGUGGGGAGUGAAAUCGCCUGGCUUAACUGGGCGGGGGCUUUCCAGACGGCGCGGCUUGAGCCACAGAGGGGGGCGUGGAAUUCCGGGUGGAGCGGUGAAAUGCGCAGAUAUCGGGAAGAACACCCGUGGCGAAGGCGGCUCUCUGGGACGGUACUGACGCUGAGACGCGAAAGCGUGGGGAGCGAACAGG